GAUGAAGAACGCAGCGAAAUGCGAUAAGUAAUGUGAAUUGCAGAAUUCAGUGAAUCAUCGAAUCUUUGGACGCACAUUGCGCCCCUUGGUAUUCCGAGGGGCAUGCCCGUUCGAGCGUCAUUAUACCCCUCAAGCCUAGCUUGGUGUUGGGGCCUGCUGUUACCGGCAGCCCUUAAAAUCAGUGGCGGUGCCAUCUGGCUCUAAGCGUAGUAAUACUUCUCGCUACAGGGUCCCGGUGGAUGCUUGCCAUCAACCCCUAAUUUUCUAUGGUUGACCUCGGAUCGGGUAGGGAUACCCGCUGAACUUAAGCAUAUCAAUAAGCGGAGGA
rnacentral:misc_RNA from 1 species